rnacentral:rRNA from 1 species
CCUACGGGAUGCAGCAGUGGGGAAUAUUGCGCAAUGGGCGAAAGCCUGACGCAGCGACGCCGCGUGAGGGAUGAAGGUCUUCGGAUCGUAAACCUCUGUCAGCAGGGAAGAACGGUCACUGUGCUAAUCAGCAGCGAAUUGGCGGUACCUGCAAAGGAAGCACCGGCUAACUCCGUGCCAGCAGCCGCGGUAAUACGGAGGGUGCGAGCGUUAAUCGGAUGUACUGGGCGUAAAGCGCUCGCAGGCGGUAUGUCAAGUCAAGGGUGAAAUCCCCGGGCUCAACGUGGGAACUGCCUUUGAAACUGGCAAACUGGAGUGUGUUAGAGGAUAGUGGAAUUCCAGGUGUAGGAGUGAAAUCCGUAGAUAUCUGGAGGAACAUCAGUGGCGAAGGCGACUAUCUGGCACAUAACUGACGCUGAGGAGCGAAAGCGUGGGUAGCAAACAGGAUUAGAUACCCUUGUAGUC